rnacentral:rRNA from 1 species
GACGAACCGUCCUAACGUUGUUCGGAAUCACUGGGCUUAAAGGGCGCGUAGGCGGCUCAUCAAGUCCGGGGUGAAAGCCUCCAGCUUAACUGGAGAAGUGCCUCGGAUACUGGUGGGCUUGAGGGAGGUAGGGGCAACUGGAACUUCCGGUGGAGCGGUGAAAUGCGUUGAUAUCGGAAGGAACGCCGGUGGCGAAAGCGAGUUGCUGGAUCUCUUCUGACGCUGAGGCGCGAAAGCUAGGGGAGCAAACGGG